rnacentral:rRNA from 1 species
AUACAGAGGGUGCAAGCGUUAAUCGGAAUUACUGGGCGUAAAGCGCGCGUAGGUGGUUAGUUAAGUUGGAUGUGAAAGCCCUGGGCUCAACCUGGGAAUGGCAUUCAAAACUGGCUGACUAGAGUAUGGUAGAGGGAAGGGGAAUUCCAGGUGUAGCGGUGAAAUGCGUAGAUAUCUGGAGGAACAUCAGUGGCGAAGGUGCCUUCCUGGACUAAUACUGACACUGAGGUGCGAAAGCGUGGGUAGCAAACAGGAUUAGAUACCCUAGUAGUCC